rnacentral:rRNA from 1 species
AUUGAACGCUGGCGGCAGGCCUAACACAUGCAAGUCGAGCGAGCGGCGGACGGGUGAGAAAUGUAUGGGGACUGCCCGAUAGAGGGGGAUAACUACUGGAAACGGUGGCUAAUACCGCAUACUGUCGGAUAACCCCUAUGGGAUUAGCUAGUAGGUAAGGUAAUGGCUUACCUAGGCGGCGAUCCCUAGCGGGUCUGAGAGGAUGAUCAGCCAAACGGGGCUGGGACCAGGGCCAAGAUCCCUACGGAGGCACCAGUGGGGAAUAUUGGCCAAUGGGCGCAAGCUGUAUGCAGCAAUGCGGGGUGUAGGAAGAAGCCCUCAGGGUGGUAAAGUAUUUUCAGUCGGGAGGCGUUACCGACAGAAGAAGCCCCGGCUAACUCCGUGCCAGCAGCCGCGGUAAUAC